rnacentral:sRNA from 1 species
AUGUCCCACGCGUCCACUGCGGUUCCGGGCGCGCGGUCCGCGCCCACCUGACAGCUGCUCGCUCCGUGCUGUUAGCC